rnacentral:rRNA from 1 species
UACGGGGGGGGCAAGCGUUGUUCGGAAUUACUGGGCGUAAAGGGCUCGUAGGUGGCCAACUAAGUCAGACGUGAAAUCCCUCAGCUUAACUGGGGAACUGCGUCUGAUACUGGAUGGCUUGAGUUUGGGAGAGGGAUGCGGAAUUCCAGGUGUAGCGGUGAAAUGCGUAGAUAUCGUAAGGAAGACCAGUGGCGAAGGCGGGUCUCUGGACAGUUCCUGACGCUGAGGCACGAAGGUCAGGGGAGCAAACGGG